AUGGCGGCAGCAGAAGCCUCCUCCUCCCCCAAUCCGCCGCGUCCUGACCUCCGCCGCCGCCAGCGCCGCCUCGUAUUCGACCGGCGCUACGGAUGGAUUUUCGACGAAUGGACGGACCCGGCCGUCGCCGCCCUCUCCGGUGGCAGGGGAAUGUUCUGCGUACUCCCGAUGGCUCAGUCGCUGAUGAGCGCGGCCGCAUAUUCGGUUGACUAUGCAACCGAUUCAGUUAGCGCAGCUCUUAAACGCCCUGACAUUUUCUCCCCACUGGCAUAUCUUCCUCACCUGCAAUUGCAUAGGAAGCAACAAACUUGGUUCGACGGACUUGAGCGAUCUGGAGUCGUAGCUGAUACCAAGUUAAUACCAUGUAGUACUCUGUAA
rnacentral:rRNA from 1 species